CGGCCUGCGGAGGCACGAGUACAAAGUAAGGCUCAAUGGCCAUAUUUAAUUCCAUAACGUAUUGCCACCACAUAAAAGUCGCACCAUUGCAGCACCAAAAAAUAUAUAAAAUACUUUUUUUGUUUUCCUCGUGCAAUAGUCGCACCUCUAUUUGAGACUGAUCCUUCUUUCUUUCCUUCCUUAUUGCAGAGGUGCGAGUACAAAGUAAGGCUCCACGAGGCAAUUGCCAUAUUUCACUACAUAAUAUAUUGCCACUGCAUAAUAGUCGCACCAUUGCAGUACCAAAAAAUAUAUAAAAUACUAUUUUUGUUUUCCUUGUGUAAUAGUCGCACCUCUAUUUGAGACUGAUCCUUCUUUCUUUCCUUUCUUCUUGCAGAGGCACGAGUACAAAGUAAGACUCCACGAGGCAAUUGCCAUAUUUCUUUCCAUAAAGUAUUGCCACCACAUAAUAGUCGCACCAUUGCAGCACCAAAAAAUAUAUAAAAUACUAUUUUUGUUUUCCUCGUGUAAUAGUCGCACCUCUAUUUGAGACUGAUCCUUCCUUACUGGCACGAGGCACGAGUACAAAGUAAGGCUCCACGUGGCAAUUGCCAUAUUUCAUUCCAUAACGUAUUGCCACCACAUAAUAGUCACACCAUUGCCACACCAAAAAAUAUAUAAAAUACUAUUUUUGUUUUCCUCGUGUAAUAGUUGCACCUCUAUUUGAGACUGAUCCUUACUGCAGAAGCACGAGUACAAAGUAAGGCUCCACACGGCAAUUGCCAUAUUUCUUUCCAUAAUAUAUUGCCACCACAUAAUAGUCGCACCAUUGCAGCACCAAAAAAUAUAUAAAAUACUAUUUUUGUUUUCCUCGUGUAAUAGUCGCACCUCUAUUUGAGACUGAUCCUUCCUUACUGCACAGGCAUGAGUACAAAGUAAGACUCCACGCGGCAAUUGCCAUAUUUCUUUCCAUAAUAUAUUGCCACCACAUAAUAGUCGCACCAUUGCAGCACCAAAAAAUAUAUAAAAUACUAUUUUUGUUUUCCUCGUGCAAUAGUCGCACCUCUAUUUGAGACUGAUCCUUCUUUCUUUCCUUCCUUACUGCAAAGGCAUGAAUACAAAGUAAGGCUCCACGCGGCAAUUGCCAUAUUUCAUUCCAUAAAGUAUUGCCACCACACAAUAGUCGCACCAUUGGAGCACCAAAAUAUAUAUAAAAUACUAUUUUUGUUUUCCUCGUGUAAUAGUCGCACCUCUAUUAUUAUUAUUAUUAUUAUUAUUUUAUUAUGUCACAGCAAACAAGAUAGAUAUGCUGGAUUUCGUAUCACAAAAUCACAAGUUGAACACUUUCUAAGUGUCUAGGACUGUGUGAUGUAUUUUCGGAUGAUGUGUGCAGAUCCCAGUAGGGUGGCCUUUUGCAGUUUCUUCUUCUUCUAAUUAUUAUUAUUAUUAUUAUUAUUAUUAUUAUUAUUAUUACAGUAUUAUUAUUUUUAGGUUAUUGUUGAUACCAUAUUGUUUUUGUUGCCCCUACUUUUCCACUUAUAGAGCUAGUUUAUUGUUUUUCUUCGAAAUACGGUAAAUAUUCAAAAACAUUUAACCUACUGAUGCCUCGAUUCAUGAAAUUUUAUUGGUAUCUAUUUUUACUUUGAAAUUUACCCAUAGCUGCUGCAUUUCCCACCCUCGGCUUAGACUCGAGUCAAUAAGUUUUCCCAGUUUUUUGUGGUAAAAUUAGGUGCCUUGGCUUAUAUUUGGGUCAGCUUAUACUCGAGUCUAUACGGUAUGUGUCCCAGAAAGGUACCGCAACCCCAAAGCAAUCCUCACAUAAUAGUCACACCCCUAUUUGAGACUGACGAAACGGCAAGAAUGAAGUGGAAAUACGUACUUCUCUCGCCGGAGUUGGAGCAACAAGCAGGAGAGAGCCUCGGGGUGCUCUGGAAGAGAAAGAAGGAUUCGGGGUUGCGUUGGAUCUGAACGGAAAGAUAUCAGCCAGCAUGCCAAUGUCUUAAAUCAAGAAACAGCUUCCUAAGAUCUACAGAGAUACUCGCAGGAACAUCUCAGCAAGCCAGAGUCCAAAAGUGGCAGGUGAAAACACGGUACUUCAAUCCUAAUAGUCCUGCUGCGCCCACCAGACGCCCGACUCACUCAAAAUGUUCAGGACCGAGUCCUUCCGAAACAUCACCAAGUUGCCCAUCAUGACGUGGCAGACCAGUUCCUGGAGCUGGAAAAGGGAAAGCGGGAACUGGUAAGUGCUGGGAUAACCCGAACUCUAACCCAAAGGAUACACAUUGAAAGCCAUGUCUCCAUCUUGGGCAACCAGAAGGACAGAUCUUCUCAUUGAAUCCCCAAGGGCCAUCCAGUCCAACCCCCUUCCAGGCAGGAAAAGCACAAUCAAAGCACCCUCCACAGAUGGCCAUCUAGACUCUGUUCUACCUGGAUUUAGCCAAUAAUAAUAAUAAUAAUAAUAAUAAUAAUAAUAAUAAUAAUAAUACAUCACACAGUCCUAGACACUUGGGAAGUGUUUGACUUGUGAUUUUGUGAAACGAAAUCCAGCAUAUCUAUCUUGUUUGCUGUGUCAUACAACGUCGUUGUCUCAAUAAUAAUAAUAAUAAUAUCAUAUAAGAUAUAUAAAUAAUAUGUAAUAUGAUGUUAUAUAAUCAUAAUAAUAAUGUGAUAUUAUCAUAAAAGAUAUAUAAUAUGUUAUAUGUUAUUAUAUAAUAAUGUGAUAACAUUAUCAUAAAAGAUAUAAUAAUAAUAAUAAUAAUAAUAAUAAUAAUAAUAAUAAUAAUAAUAAUAACAAUAAUAUUUUAUUUAUACCCCGCCACCAUCUCCCCGUGGGGACUUGGGGCGGCUUACAUGGGGCAGAGGCCCAAACAACAUAGAACAAAACAUAGGCAACAUAAUACAAAUCACACUAUAAAAAGGUAAAACAGUAAUACAAUCUAUCAAUUAAAACAAAAAUACAGGAUAAAAAAUUGCAUUUAAAACACAUAAAUGGUAAAAUCGUAAUAAAAACAGGACAGAUUAUUAAAAACCCUCUGUAAUAUAUUAUAUAAUAAUGUGAUAAUAUUACCAUAUAAGAUACUAGCUGUGCCCGGCCACGCGUUGCUGUGUCUGAGUCUGGUGGUGUUGUUCAGUCUACAUUAGGUUGUAUUUAUGCUGUGACCUUCUUUAUACUCACAUUAGUAGUAGUAUUUGAAGUCUGUUACCUUCUUCAAUUUUUGUGUUGAUUGAUAAUUGCUUGAGAUCCCUGUUGUCUUUGGUUUGUUGUUAGUUGUAAUGUCUGAUUCUGCUGAGUGCGGUUUAUAUUUUUAUUGUGGUACAAUAGUCCUUUUUUUGUUUUGCCUGUGUAGGUGUUUAUUAUUAUUGUUGUUGUUGUGGUCAUGAAGGUUGGAUAAGUUAGAUGCUACUGUAUUGUUUUUUGGAGGCCCAGUGUAGCACUGACUGGCCUCUCAGCCUCAGUGCCUGGCUGUUUCUUGCCUGUGAUGGUGUUGAUUCUUAUUGUUGUUGUUGUUAUUGUUAUUAUUGUAAUUGUUUUUUUGGAGGCCAAGUGUGAAUGUAGGGAUUGGGGAGGUGGAUGAGUUGUGUUGUCAAAUUUGGUAUUUGUUAUAGUCACAAUGCGUUGUUGUGAGUUUUGUGGGUCUGGAUUGUGGUUUUGUGGUGUAGUUGUGUUGUUACAACUGGGAGAAAAGGCUUUUGUGUUGUGUUGUCAAGUUUUAUAUUUCUGGGGCGUUUAGUUGUGCACCGUUUCGUAUUUCUGGGGCGUUUAGUUGUGUUGUUAUAGUCACGAUGCAUUGUUGUGAGUUUUGUGGGUCCGGAUUGUGGUUUUGUGGUGUGGUUGUGUUGUUACAACCGGGAGGCAAGGCUUUUACGUUGUGUUGUCAAGUUUUAUAUUUCUGGGGUGUUUAGUUGUGUGCCAAGUUUCGUAUUUCUGGGGCGUUUAGUUGUGUUGUUAUAGUCACGAUGCGUUGUUGUGAGUUUUAUGGGUCCGGAUUGUGGUUUUGUGGUGUGGUUGUGUUGUUACAACCUGGAGGGAAGGCUUUUGCGUUGUGUUGCCAAGUUUCGUAUUUCUGGGGCGUUUAGUUGUGUUGUUAUAGUCACAAUGCGUUGUUGUGAGUUUUGUGGGUCCUGUGUGGUUUUGUGGUGUGGCUGUGUUGUUACAACUGGGAGGCAAGGUUUUUGCAUUGUGUUGCCAAGUUUUGUAUUUCUGGGGCGUUUAGUUGUGUUGUUAUCGCAUGAUGCGUUGUUGUGAGUUUUGUGGGUCUGGAUUGUGGUUUUGUGGUGUGGUUGUGUUGUUGUAACCGGGAGGCAAGCCUUUUGCAUUGUGUUGCCAAAUUUCUUAUUUCUGGGAUGUUUAGUUUUGUUGUUAUAGUCACUGCGCAAACAACUUUAUCAUUUUAUAUAUAUAGAUGUAAGAUAAUAUGUAAUAUUAUGCUAUCAUAUAAAUAAUAAUAAUAAUAAUAAUAAUAAUAAUAAUAAUAAUAAUAAUAAUAAUAAUAAUAAUAACAGAACUCAACGAAGAUAAUUUCACAGAAACUUGGUCCACUGAUUGAUCAAGGGACCCAAGAAGACAAGGUCUUAUAUGGCAACGAUGCACUCGCUUGAAUUAGACAGACAUUGACUCUGGAGGUCAGAUUAAAUAUUGUGCAUUGUAUUAAUACUUAGUCUAUUUGUAGAUUUGGUUUCUUUUCUAGAUUAUAUCUUAUGUCCAUUUUGCCCCAAUAAAAUACGUGUAUUUUGCAAGCACGGAGUGACCAAAUAAGGGUCCGUUGCCUGCUUCUCUCCCUUUUCCCAGAUGCGAUAGCCAUCGGUGCGGCUGGGCCCUGCCAAGGAAAACCAUCCCGUCUGGGGAAAUGGGAAAGUAUUUACGGCAAAAACGGAGAGGUUUAUGGGCAGAGAGAUGAAUGAUGGAGGAGGCUGGGUUGGCAAAGAUGUCCCUCCGUCUUUUAGUUUGGGGCCAGUCUACGCCGGAGCCAUGGCAACCUGUUGGCAAUGGCAGCCGUGGUCCCGGGAGGCCUUUGAUCCCAAAUCCGCUCCGGUUUUGUUCCUAGAAUAACAAAACGGGGCCCCAGUCUUGGAGAGGCCUUGCAGCAUCCCCACCGCGAGGCGCAGGACUCAAAGAAAUUCCCCUGAUAGCCGUCAACAUUGGUGCUUUGGCUGGAAAGCUGGCUGGAUGAUGCUUAUGAUGACAAUGAUUACAUUAUUAUUAUUAUUAUUAUCAUCAACACAACGACGUUGUAUGGCACAGCAAACAAGAUAGAUAUGCUGGAUUUCGUUUCGCAAAACCACAAGUCGAACACUUCCCAAGUGUCUAGGACUGUGUGAUGUAUUAUUAUUAUUAUUAUUAUUAUUAUUAUUAUUAUUAUUAUGAUGACACAGCAAACAAGAUAGAUAUGCUGGAUUUCGUAUCACAAAACCACAAGUCGAACACUUCCCAAGUGUCUAGGACUGUGUGAUGUAUUAUUAUUAUUAUUAUUAUUAUUAUUAUUAUUAUUAUUAUGACACAGCAAACAAGAUAGAUAUGCUGGAUUUCGUAUCACAAAAUCACAAGACGAACACUUCCCAAGUGUCUAGGACUGUGUGAUGUAUUAUUAUUAUUAUUAUUAUUAUUAUUAUUAUUAUUAUUAUUAUUAUGACACAGCAAACAAGAUAGAUAUGCUGGAUUUCGUAUCACAAAAUCACAAGACGAACACUUCCCAAGUGUCUAGGACUGUGUGAUGUAUUAUUAUUAUUAUUAUUAUUAUUAUUAUUAUUAUUAUUAUUAUUAUUAUGAUGACACAGCAAACAAGAUAGAUAUGCUGGAUUUCGUAUCACAAAAUCACAAGUCGAACACUUCCCAAGUGUCUAGGACUGUGUGAUGUAUUUUCUGAUGAUGUGUGCAGAUCCCAGUAGGGUGGCCUUUUGCAGUUGGCAGAUGGUGAUUUUGUCAAUGUCUGUUGUUUCCAAAUGCCGGCUGAGAUCUUUUGGCACGGCACCCAGUGUGCCCAUCACCACCGGGACCACCUGUACUGGUUUCUGCCAGAGUCUUUGAAGUUCAAUCUUGAGGUCCUGAGAGCGGCUGAGUUUUUCCUGUUGUUUUUCAUCUAUGCGACUGUCACCUGGGAUGGCAACAUCAAUGAUCCAAACCUUGUUCUUUUCCACAACUGUGAUGUCUGGUGUGUUGUGUUCCAGAACUUUGUCAGUCUGGAUUCGGAAGUCCCACAGUCUCUUUGCGUGCUCAUUUUCCAAUACUUUUGCAGGUUUGUGAUCCCACCAGUUCUUUGCUGCUGGGAGGUGGGACUUGAGGCAUAAGUUCCAAUGAAUCAUUUGGGCCACAUAGUUGUGCCUCUGUUUGUAGUCUGUCUGUGCAAUUUUUUUACAGCAGCUGAGGAUAUGAUCCAUGGUUUCGUCGGUUUCCUUGCACAGUCUGCAUUUUGGGUCAUCAGCUGAUUUUUCAAUCUUGGCCUUAAUUGCAUUUGUUCUGAUGGCUUGCUCCUGGGCUGCAAGGAUCAGGCCUUCUGUCUCCUUCUUCUUCUUAUUAUUAUUAUUAUUAUGACACUUUGGGUAACCACUCCCCCCCGAUUAUAGCGACAUAACUAGCACUUUAGCCCAGUUUCCUACAGAUCUUAUCCAUGAUUUUAUCAUGAUGUAUUGUAUGUGUUUUUAUAACUUGUUUUAUUGUUGUUUGAUUUGUUUUACUGCUUGUUUUUAUAUUGUCAUGACUGGGCUUGGCCCCAUGUAAGCCGCCCCGAGUCCCUUCGGGGAGAUGGGGCAGGGUAUAAGAAUAAAAUUAUUAUUAUUAUUAUUAUUAUUAUUA